AGGUGCAUUAAAUUUACCUGGAGAUGUCAAUCAAAUUCACAUCUUCACAUUAUUGAAUCUUUCUAAGACAAGACAACUGCCAAACUGUCUUCCGAAGUGUCUACACUAGCUUGCAUUUCCACCAACAAAGUCUGAGCGUUUCUGUUGCUCUCCAUCCUCACCAGAGCUGAUGUUUUCAAUAUUGCAGAUUUUGACCAUUGUAAUAGAAAUGGAGGUCCUGUGUCAUACUCUUGCCAAGAGUCACAGAAAAGGUCUCAUGAGAGCAAACUAUGGAUGCCACUAGGGAAAUUUUGAUUCCUUGUAUCCAGAGACCAGCAGGCAAGAAGAGUCAACAUCUUGACAACGUAUUUGCCCCUGAUCGUCAGGAUAAGAUUCUGUCUUUGCUGCAAUCAAAUUUGUAUCCUGAUCCAAGAUGUUUUGCUUCAUUCAGUUUACAACUACAUCAGCAUCUGCCAUGUGUAAACAGUAUGAUCAGCAUAGAGGGAGAAGCCAGUGAGAAGAAAGAACAUUUUUUCCACAGAUAAUUCUGAAAAGGUCCUCAUCUUUAUCCUUCUAUAAAUCUUCCAAUGCUAAAAUACUACCAUAAAAUUUAACAAAGGCACUUUGAAACCUAUAUCUGUUAUCAGAAAUACUGUUAUUUCAAAUGGAUCCCAUUUCAAGGUAAAUAAAGAGUCAUUUGGUAAAUCCAAAAAGUGUUAAGCUUUAUAAUGCACUUUUAUUGAGGUUAUAGUUCCCAAACUAGAAUGACUAUGUGUGACAAUAUUUUCCCUCAAUAUAAUGUUUUAUGGGAAAAAAUGAAAAAUAGUUUGAGCUUUAAAAUAACCAAGCAUACUAUCAAAGUUAUUACCUUGUGAUACAACAUCUCCUCUCAUUUGAUUUGUAAAAGCAGUCUAAAAUUUUCUUAUCCAUUCCAAUGACAAAAAUGUAAGGUUAUCAGUGGUUGCACUGGUUAUAAAUAUAUUAACUUGAAUUAAGAACUCAAUAAAAUUGCAUGUUUUAUUUUACAUUAUAAAUUAGUAAAUUCUUGUACUAAAUUGGAAGAGCUAUUCAUUUCGUCUAUGCAUAAAUUGUUAUAAUCAUACAUUCUGCAAAAUUGUUACUGCUUCCAGUUAUUAUAUUCCUUAUCAAUGAGGAGAUAACUUAUUCAUCUUUGCCAUACCAUUAAAAAUUCCUUAGUAUUUGUCCUUUAGCUUUGAAUUAAAAUAAUAUUGGUAUUUUAGAACAUAAUUUAGGUAUUAAGGAUUUUGUAGGAGCAAAUAGGCAGCCCUAAGAGGGGCCACGUCGGCAUGACCAUUGUUUUGAUUUAAAAGCAAUCAAAACCCAGCAGAUUCAGGAAAGGCUUUUUACCUCCCUGUCAUUGCCUACUCGUACCAGGAAGAGAGCUAUUAAUAGAGAUUCCUCUUUACUUAGGAAACUCGCCUGUAUAAUGUGGAAACAUUUAUCUUCCAAACAUCUCCUUUCACCUUCCUGAUAAUAGUCUUUCUCCCUUUUGUAUUCUCAGAUCCUACCCCUCUCCUUAGCACAUAUAAACAUCUAAUUGGCUGACUCUUUGGAAUUUCUGUGUCUGCAUGGAUCCCCUAUACACAUAUGCCAUUAAAUUUUAUUUUCUCCUGUUAAUCUGUCUCCCGUCGAUUUGAUUCUUAGUCCAACUAGAAAGACCUUGAAGGGUAGAGGGAAUUCUUUCCCCAACACCUUCAUAGCCAUUGCCAAAUUUUCUCCAGAAAAGCAUUUAAAAUUAACAUUAUAAUCAAGAGUUGUCUGUUCUGCUACUUUCAAUAACACUAAGUAUUGAAAAAUAUACAGACUAAAAAAAGUAA